AAAGAUUCCGAUGUGUCACUGUCCUAUUUGCUAACAGUCGUGGCCGCUCGUAAGUCCCAACAAAGACACUCCUCGGAAACCCCUUUCCCUUUCGGCUAAAGAAAUAUCUUCUUGUUCCAAUCGCCCUGAUAUUUAUAUGUAUAUAUAAACCACGCGCUCACUCUUUUUUCAGUCUUUACUUCUCGCGAUACUUUUCGCCGUCGGCAAGAGAUUAUUGUAGCGUAAAGACACAGCAAUGGCGCCGCCGGUUAUUGAAGGUGGCGGAGGAGAACAGCCGGCCCCUGCGCAGCAGCAGCGGCAGCAGGGAGGAGUUGGACAGAUGCUGACGGGGAUAAUAAGAGUAGCGGUUUUCUGGUACUUCGCUUCCAAGUUUUUCUCGCCGAAAAAGCCAAUCUCCUCCGAUCCGUCUGCUCCUAAUCUCCAGAUCUCCAAUCUCUUCCACAAAGGCGAACCUUUG
rnacentral:lncRNA from 1 species